CAUGCAAGUCGAACGGAAAGGCCCUUCGGGGUACUCGAGUGGCGAACGGGUGAGUAACACGUGGGUGAUCUGCCCUGCACUUUGGGAUAAGCCUGGGAAACUGGGUCUAAUACCGAAUAGGACCGCGCUCUCCAUGGGGUGUGGUGGAAAGCUUUUGCGGUGUGGGAUGGGCCCGCGGCCUAUCAGCUUGUUGGUGGGGUAAUGGCCUACCAAGGCGACGACGGGUAGCCGGCCUGAGAGGGUGACCGGCCACACUGGGACUGAGAUACGGCCCAGACUCCUACGGGAGGCAGCAGUGGGGAAUAUUGCACAAUGGGCGCAAGCCUGAUGCAGCGACGCCGCGUGAGGGAUGACGGCCUUCGGGUUGUAAACCUCUUUCAAUAGGGACGAAGCGCAAGUGACGGUACCUAUAGAAGAAGGACCGGCCAACUACGUGCCAGCAGCCGCGGUAAUACGUAGGGUCCGAGCGUUGUCCGGAAUUACUGGGCGUAAAGAGCUCGUAGGUGGUUUGUCGCGUUGUUCGUGAAAACUCACA
rnacentral:rRNA from 1 species